UACGUAGGGGGGCAAGCGUUGUCCGGAUUUAUUGGGCGUAAAGAGCGUGUAGGCGGUCAGGUAGGUCCGUUGUGAAAACUCGAGGCUCAACCUCGAGACGCCGAUGGAAACCAUCUGACUAGAGUCCGGAAGAGGAGAGUGGAAUUCCUGGUGGAGCGGUGAAAUGCGCAGAGAUCAGGAGGAACACCCGUAGCGAAGGCGGCAUCCUGGACCGAAAUUGACGCUGAGGCGCGAAAGCCAGGGGAGCAAACGGG
rnacentral:rRNA from 1 species